rnacentral:misc_RNA from 1 species
UCCGGUUUGUCACCGGCAGUCACCUUAGAGUGCCCAACUAAAUGCUGGCAACUAAGAUCAAGGGUUGCGCUCGUUGCGGGACUUAACCCAACAUCUCACGACACGAGCUGACGACAACCAUGCACCACCUGUCACCACUGUCCCCGAAGGGAAAGGUAUAUCUCUAUACCGGGCAGUGGGAUGUCAAGACCUGGUAAGGUUUUUCGCGUUGCAUCGAAUUAAACCACAUCAUCCACCGCUUGUGCGGGCCCCCGUCAAUUCUUUUGAGUUUUAGCCUUGCGGCCGUACUCCCCAGGCGGGACACUUAACGCGUUAACUGCGGCACAGAGGGAUUCGACUCCCCCCACACCUAGUGUCCAUCGUUUACGGCUAGGACUAC